rnacentral:rRNA from 1 species
ACAAAGUAAAAAAAUUCAGGCGGUCUAUCAUGCAAGUCGAACGAACUCUGGUAUUGAUUGGUGCUUGCAUCAUGAUUUACAUUUGAGUGAGUGGCGAACUGGUGAGUAACACGUGGGAAACCUGCCCAGAAGCGGGGGAUAACACCUGGAAACAGAUGCUAAUACCGCAUAACAACUUGGACCGCAUGGUCCGAGUUUGAAAGAUGGCUUCGGCUAUCACUUUUGGAUGGUCCCGCGGCGUAUUAGCUAGAUGGUGGGGUAACGGCUCACCAUGGCAAUGAUACGUAGCCGACCUGAGAGGGUAAUCGGCCACAUUGGGACUGAGACACGGCCCAAACUCCUACGGGAGGCAGCAGUAGGGAAUCUUCCACAAUGGACGAAAGUCUGAUGGAGCAACGCCGCGUGAGUGAAGAAGGGUUUCGGCUCGUAAAACUCUGUUGUUAAAGAAGAACAUAUCUGAGAGUAACUGUUCAGGUAUUGACGGUAUUUAACCAGAAAGCCACGGCUAACUACGUGCCAGCAGCCGCGGUAAUACGUAGGUGGCAAGCGUUGUCCGGAUUUAUUGGGCGUAAAGCGAGCGCAGGCGGUUUUUUAAGUCUGAUGUGAAAGCCUUCGGCUCAACCGAAGAAGUGCAUCGGAAACUGGGAAACUUGAGUGCAGAAGAGGACAGUGGAACUCCAUGUGUAGCGGUGAAAUGCGUAGAUAUAUGGAAGAACACCAGUGGCGAAGGCGGCUGUCUGGUCUGUAACUGACGCUGAGGCUCGAAAGUAUGGGUAGCAAACAGGAUUAGAUACCCUGGUAGUCCAUACCGUAAACGAUGAAUGCUAAGUGUUGGGAGGGUUUCCGCCCUUCAGUGCUGCAGCUAACGCAUUAAGCAUUCCGCCUGGGGAGUACGGCCGCAAGUGCUCGAAAAGCGGAGGGACUGAC